rnacentral:rRNA from 1 species
AUGGAGAUUGAGGCGAUGGGGAAGCAGCAGCGGGAGGAGGCGCUCCUCCGCGCCGCCUCCGACGGCAACCUCCGCCUACUCAAGAAGAUGGCGCGGUGGAUGGGCUCGGGAGGCAAAGGCGAGGCCGCCAUCCUGGGCGCGGUGGAGGACGGCGUAGGGGACCGCGCGCUGCACCUGGCGGCCGGGGCGGGGCAGCUCGAGGUCUGCAGGUACCUCGUCGAGGACCUCCGCCUCGAUGUCAAUCAACUCAACUUCAUAGGUGACACGCCACUGUACCAUUCUGCCAUAUAUGGGAGAGCUGCUGCUGCAAGAUAUCUUCUUGGUCAUGGUGCUGAUCCACUAGCUGGCAAACUGCACUCACCUCUCUAUGGCGCUGCAAAGAAAGGACAUUGUGAAAUAGCAGAACUUCUGCUUUCAAGAGGAGUCGAUGCGGAUUUAGAUUCUGCACAAGGGACGCCAUUGCAUGCAGCUGCAAUUGCUAAAGAUCAUAACAUAAUUAAGAUUUUGUUGGAGCACCAUGCCGAUCCUAACAAGGUUUCCGGUCUUGGUUAUACCCCAUUGAGUUGGGCCAUCCGGGCCAUCAAGCCCAUGCCUAGAGAGCCGUUGGAAUGUGUCAAGCUACUUGUUAAGGCUGGCGCUGAUGUGAAUUUUAUUGACUUCGAUGGUGGUAGUUACAUGAUGUUGGCAGUGAAGUCUGGCUUCCCUGGCAUCAUGAAGUUCUUGCUAGAUGCUGGUGCUAACCCUAAUAUUCCUGAUGAAUGUGGUAACACACUGAUUGAAGUUGCUGCCUCUAAAGGCAGUAGGGACAUGGUUGAAAUGUUAUUCCCUUUAUCUUCUCCUAUUUCAACGUUGCCGGACUGGAGUAUUGAUGGAAUCAUUUCUCAUGUGAAACACUUUGGUUUGAAGUCGAUGGAUAAACAAAAAUGCGCAAAGAUAAGAACUGAACUGAAACAGAAAGCUUCAGAGGCUUUUAAGGAAGGGGAAUAUUAUAUGGCUUCAGAGAUGUAUACUGGUGCAAUGGCAUUUGACCCUAGUCCAGAUGAUUGUGCAAUCAUAUUGGCAAACAGGAGUCUCAGUACGUUGCGCGGUGGGAAUGGAAGAGCUGCUCUCUCUGAUGCUAGCAUGUGCAGGAUGGCGCGACCUCUUUGGCCAAAAGCCUGCUAUCGAGAAGGGGCAGCUCUUAUGUUAUUGAAGAAGUACGAGAGAGCAUGCGAGGCUUUUGCGGAUGGCUUGAAGCUUGAGCCUUCAAAUGGUGAUCUUGCAAAUGCUUUAAGGGAAGCCCAAGAAGCAGCAAAGAAUGCUCGUAGCCGUGAAAAGUGA